GGAACGGUGGCUGAGUGGUCUAAAGUACUCCCUUGCUAAGGGAGCGUAGGGGUGACUCUACCGAGGGUUCGAAUCCCUCCCGUUCCGCCA
rnacentral:tRNA from 1 species